UACGGAGGGUGCAAGCGUUAUCCGGAUUCACUGGGUUUAAAGGGUGCGUAGGUGGGUCUGUAAGUCAGUGGUGAAAUCUCCGGGCUUAACCCGGAAACUGCCAUUGAUACUAUAGGUCUUGAAUUAUCUGGAGGUAAGCGGAAUAUGUCAUGUAGCGGUGAAAUGCUUAGAUAUGACAUAGAACACCAAUUGCGAAGGCAGCUUACUACGGAUUGAUUGACACUGAGGCACGAAAGCGUGGGGAUCAAACAGG
rnacentral:rRNA from 1 species